rnacentral:rRNA from 1 species
GAUGAACGCUAGCUACAGGCUUAACACAUGCAAGUCGAGGGGCAGCAUGAACUUAGCUUGCUAAGUUUGAUGGCGACCGGCGCACGGGUGAGUAACACGUAUCCAACCUGCCGAUGACUCGGGGAUAGCCUUUCGAAAGAAAGAUUAAUACCCGAUGGCAUAGUUCUUCCGCAUGGUAGAACUAUUAAAGAAUUUCGGUCAUCGAUGGGGAUGCGUUCCAUUAGGUUGUUGGCGGGGUAACGGCCCACCAAGCCUUCGAUGGAUAGGGGUUCUGAGAGGAAGGUCCCCCACAUUGGAACUGAGGCACGGUCCAAACUCCUACGGGAGGCAGCAGUGAGGAAUAUUGAUCAAUGGACGAGAGUCUGAACCAGCCAAGUAGCGUGAAGGAUGACUGCCCUAUGGGUUGUAAACUUCUUUUAUACGGGAAUAAAGUGAGGCACGUGUGCCUUUUUGUAUGUACCGUAUGAAUAAGGAUCGGCUAACUCCGUG